UGGUGAUGUCUCCUCCCCUUUAUCGAUGGAGGCACUCGGUCAUGCUGUGGGUCUAAGACCUUAGACGCAAGUCGUCGGUAGUGUGGUGUGAGGACGGGUUGGAUGCCCA
rfam:Bacillus bataviensis LMG 21833 contig56, whole genome shotgun sequence.